ACUCCUACGGGAGGCAGCAGUGAGGAAUCUUGCGCAAUGGAGGAAACUCUGACGCAGCCACGCCGCGUGCCGGAAGACGGCCCUAUGGGUUGUAAACGGCUUUUGUUUGGGAAGAAGGUGCGGGUUUUGACCUGUAUUGACGGUACCGAAUGAAUAAGCACCGGCUAACUCCGUGCCAGCAGCCGCGGUAAUACGGAGGGUGCAAGCGUUGUCCGGAAUCAUUGGGUGUAAAGGGUGCGUAGGCUGGCUUUUAAGUCAGGGGUGAAAUCUUGCCGCUUAACGGUAAAAUGGCCCCCGAUACUGGAAGUCUUGGAUCUGACAGAGGUCGGUGGAAUUCGUAGUGUAGCGGUGAAAUGCAUAGAUAUUACGAAGAACACCAGUGGCGAAGGCGGCCGGCUGGGUCAGUAUUGACGCUGAGGCACGAGAGCGUGGGGAGCGAACAGGAUUAGAUACCCCAGUAGUCC
rnacentral:rRNA from 1 species